AAGUCAGCACUUAAAGAAGCAGAAAUUAAAGAAAUCACAGUCUCUUCUCUUAAAACAAUAACUGACUUGCAGAACCAACUCAAGCAACAAGGUGAAGAGUUCAAGAAACAACUGGAAGAGGAAGAAGCAAGAAAAGCUGGAAAAGAAAACAUAGUGGCAGAGUUAACUGAGGAAACGAAUAAGUGGCGUCUCCUUUAUGAAGAACUAUAUAA